rnacentral:rRNA from 1 species
GACGAACGCUGGCGGCGUGCUUAACACAUGCAAGUCGAACGGAAAGGCCCUGCUUGCCGGGUACUCGAGUGGCGAACGGGUGAGUAACACGUGGGUGAUCUGCCCUGCACUUCGGGAUAAGCCUGGGAAACUGGGUCUAAUACCGGAUAGGAGCCAUUUUUAGUGUGAUGGUUGGAAAGUUUUUUCGGUGUAGGAUGAGCUCGCGGCCUAUCAGCUUGUUGGUGGGGUAAUGGCCUACCAAGGCGGCGACGGGUAGCCGGCCUGAGAGGGUGGACGGCCACGUUGGGACUGAGAUACGGCCCAGACUCCUACGGGAGGCAGCAGUGGGGAAUAUUGCACAAUGGGCGCAAGCCUGAUGCAGCGACGCCGCGUGGGGGAUGACGGCCUUCGGGUUGUAAACUCCUUUCGCUAGGGACGAAGCGUUUUGUGACGGUACCUAGAUAAGAAGCACCGGCUAACUACGUGC